AACGAACGCUGGCGGCAGGCCUAACACAUGCAAGUCGAACGCCCUAGCAAUAGGGAGUGGCAGACGGGUGAGUAACACGUGGGAACCUUCCCUAUAGUACGGAAUAGCCCAGGGAAACUUGGAGUAAUACCGUAUACGCCCGAAAGGGGAAAGAUUUAUCGCUAUAGGAUGGGCCCGCGUAGGAUUAGCUAGUUGGUGAGGUAAUGGCUCACCAAGGCGACGAUCCUUAGCUGGCCUGAGAGGACGACCAGCCACACUGGGACUGAGACACGGCCCAGACUCCUACGGGAGGCAGCAGUGGGGAAUAUUGGACAAUGGGCGCAAGCCUGAUCCAGCCAUGCCGCGUGAGUGAUGAAGGCCUUAGGGUUGUAAAGCUCUUUUGGCGGGGACGAUAAUGACGGUACCCGCAGAAUAAGUCCCGGCUAACUUCGUGCCAGCCGCCGCAGUAAGAC
rnacentral:rRNA from 1 species